rnacentral:rRNA from 1 species
UGGGGAAUAUUGGACAAUGGGCGAAAGUCUGAUCCAGCCAUGCCGCGUGAGUGAAGAAGGCCUUCGGGUUGUAAAGCUCUUUUACCAGGGACGAUAAUGACGGUACCUGGAGAAUAAGCCCCGGCAAACUUCGUGCCAGCAGCCGCGGUAAUACGAAGGGGGCUAGCGUUGUUCGGAAUUACUGGGCGUAAAGCGCACGUAGGCGGAUUGUUAAGUCAGAGGUGAAAUCCCGGAGCUCAACUUCGGAACUGCCUUUGAUACUGGCAAUCUAGAGUCCGGAAGAGGUUAGUGGAAUUCCCAGUGUAGAGGUGAAAUUCGUAGAUAUUGGGAAGAACACCAGUGGCGAAGGCGGCUAACUGGUCCGGUACUGACGCUGAGGUGCGAAAGCGUGGGGAGCAAACAGGAUUAGAUACCCAAGUAGUCCCUGAGCGGGCUGGCAAGGCGCAU